rnacentral:lncRNA from 1 species
AAAAGAUUGACUUUCAGGGCAUAUUUCCAACAAUCUCCCACUUGCACUAAAGUCAAUCACUAGUGUUUCUUAUACAUCUUGUCGAGAGAGUUUAUGCUCGUAGGUUAACUUGGUUAUGUAUUAAUCCCUUUUCAUUUAAAAGGGAUUUACUUAUCAAAUGUUUCCAAAACAUUUGAUGAUGUCUCUUUAUUGUGUUCGAAUACUUUGAUGAGACCUUGAUUCCAUGGCUUGAGCUAUCGCCCCAUUACGUCGUAGUACCCUACUAACGACCUUAUGGUUUGGAUUCAAUCAUUGGUUCUAAAAGAAACCCCUUCCAUUCAAAAACACCUUUUGAAGCAGUUUCUAAAACUAUAUAUCGACAUAUAUUUCGUUUGUAUACUUUAUACAAAUUUUGCUCCAACCUUGAGACCAUUGUAGUACAAUACUAACAAUUCAUUUAUAUGAUUAGUACUUCAUCCAUUAUGAAGUUCCAUUUGUUAAAAUGGCUUAUUUUUCACUUUGAUUAACAACCUAAGUGAAUGCACGCUUCCAGAGUCCUACUCUGAUGUUUCUUUCUCAAAGGCAAUAAUACUCUAUCAGUUGCUUUGGUUCUGAUCCUGGGACAUAGUAAUAUCUUAAAGUGACAACCCAUGUGGUUCUUCACCUUUGGAUAUCUACUUCACAAGUCCAUACAUGUGUCCCUUUUGUGAUUUUAUGACACAUUCAUUAUAAGGGUUAUGAAAGUGAUUUCCUAUCACAUAGGAAAAUACUUUCUUAAAUCUACAACAUUUGAGAUUUAUUUCCCAUAUAACAUUAUUGAGACAGCCUUGCUAUAUCAAUAAGUCCAAUUUCAAGUCUAUACUUCAAAAUUGACCGUGUCAUGUAUUGUCAUUUUUCGAGUAACAUCUAUGUUUUAUUAAGUCUAUCAAAUGGACUUUAUUCACAUCUUGUUGCUCAAAUUAUGACAUCACUCCCACUGGCCUUGUUGUAACAUAGCAUUCAUUCAAAGAAUAACAAUUAUAUUUUCUUGAUUUGAAUGCAUAUUGCUCCCACUAACUUAAAUGAAUCAUACACAAAAGAAUUCCUUCUCAAGUAAUUCCAUGAAAUGUGUAUGACUUGCUUUAUCAAGUCAAUCCAUUUAAAUUAUAUGGUGUCAUACACCAUACUUCAAGUUUUAGUCAUACUAAGACCUUUAAUGUAGUCAUAUAAGAAUUAUCUAAGUCUUUAGUGAAGCAUGGCUCCUACUAAGGAUAAAAACUUAACCAUUCCUCCUAGGUGGUUGAUAUAAUUCUUUAUCAGAACUACAUAGAGCAAUAUCGUUACAUGAGAUGUUGAAUUUGGUUUGUCUUAUUGUUAAACCACAUGUUGUGACUCAUUUUGAAAUUUAUUCCCUUUUGUUUCAUCAACUUGUCCAUAUGCUUUCUUUAUUAGCUUGUUCUCAUAAAAGAGAAUGAUGGACAACUCCCAACAUAUAACUAUUUUAUGCUAGGUUGACGAAACCAACAUUCAAAGACUAUUCUUUAAAUGUCACACAACAUAGAAUUUUAACGUUUGAAGAGCUUGAGUCCUUUUAACAAUUAAAAUCACAAACUCUUAAUAAUAGUCAAGUACUAUUAUUCUUUAGACAACUAUAAACCAAUCCCAUUCAAGUUUAUAUCCAUUUUCACACCUCCCACUAUUUCUCAUGACUUUAAUGAGAAAUCACUUCAUACAUUCAAAAUGUAUAAAAUUGGAGUAUAUUGGAAGAAGACAUUGUGUAGUAGCUUUAGAACAUUUCAAGCUUAUUUGUUUCAAUCUUCACUAAGUCAAUGUCUUGUUAUUUAAGUGACUAAAGUCUUUAAACAAUUUAUAGAUUUAGACACUUCUUUCUUGGUUUAGUCACUAACACAAUUGACAUUUUAAAACAAUUUUAAGAAUG